rnacentral:rRNA from 1 species
UGGGGGAUAUUGCACAAUGGGCGAAAGCCUGAUGCAGCGACGCCGCGUGGGGGAUGAAGGCCUUCGGGUUGUAAACUUCUUUUGCUCUGAACAAGGCAUGCUAAUGGGUGUGUUGAGUGUAGGGGUUGAUUAGCGCCGGCUAACUACGUGCCAGCAGCCGCAGUAAUACGUAGGGCGCGAGCGUUGUCCGGAAUUAUUGGGCGUAAAGGGCUUGUAGGUGGCUGGUUGCGUCUGUCGUGAAAGCUCAUGGCUUAACUGUGGGUUUGCGGUGGGUACGGGCUGGCUUGAGUGCAGUAGGGGAGGCUGGAAUUCCUGGUGUAGCGGUGGAAUGCGCAGAUAUCAGGAGGAAUACCGGUGGCGAAGGUGGGUCUCUGGGCUGUUACUGACACUGAGGAGCGAAAGCAUGGGGAGCGAACAGG